UCUCUGGUAGUAUAGUGGUUAGUAUUCCGGCUUGUCAUCCCCUUACGUGACAAAGCGCCGGCGACCUGAGUUCGAUCCUCAGCCAGAGAG